rnacentral:rRNA from 1 species
CCAAGGCGACGAUCGGUAGCCGGACUGAGAGGUUGAACGGCCACAUUGGGACUGAGACACGGCCCAGACUCCUACGGGAGGCAGCAGUGGGGAAUAUUGCACAAUGGGGGAAACCCUGAUGCAGCGACGCCGCGUGGAGGAAGAAGGUCUUCGGAUUGUAAACUCCUGUUGUUGAGGAAGAUAAUGACGGUACUCAACAAGGAAGUGACGGCUAACUACGUGCCAGCAGCCGCGGUAAAACGUAGGUCACAAGCGUUGUCCGGAAUUACUGGGUGUAAAGGGAGCGCAGGCGGGAAGACAAGUUGGAAGUGAAAUCUAUGGGCUCAACCCAUAAACUGCUUUCAAAACUGUUUUUCUUGAGUAGUGCAGAGGUAGGCGGAAUUCCCGGUGUAGCGGUGGAAUGCGUAGAUAUCGGGAGGAACACCAGUGGCGAAGGCGGCCUACUGGGCACCAACUGACGCUGAGGCUCGAAAGUGUGGGUAGCAAACAGGAUUAGAUACCCUGGUAGUCCACACCGUAAACGAUGAUUACUAGGUGUUGGAGGAUUGACCCCUUCAGUGCCGCAGUUAACACAAUAAGUAAUCCACCUGGGGAGUACGACCGCAAGGUUGAAACUCAAAGGAAUUGACGGGGGCCCGCACAAGCAGUGGAGUAUGUGGUUUAAUUCGACGCAACGCGAAGAACCUUACCAAGUCUUGACAUCCUGCGACGAUGCUGGAAACAGUAUUUUCCUUCGGGACGCAGAGACAGGUGGUGCAUGGUUGUCGUCAGCUCGUGUCGUGAGAUGUUGGGUUAAGUCCCGCAACGAGCGCAACCCUUACUGUCAGUUACUACGCAAGAGGACUCUGGCAGGACUGCCGUUGACAAAACGGAGGAAGGUGGGGAUGACGUCAAAUCAUCAUGCCCUUUAUGACUUGGGCUACACACGUACUACAAUGGCGUUAAACAAAGAGGAGCAAGACCGCGAGGUGGAGCAAAACUCAGAAACAACGUCCCAGUUCGGACUGCAGGCUGCAACUCGCCUGCACGAAGUCGGAAUUGCUAGUAAUCGUGGAUCAGCAUGCCACGGUGAAUACGUUCCCGGGCCUUGUACACACCGCCCGUCACACCAUGAGAGCCGGGGGGACCCGAAGUCGGUAGUCUAACCGCAAGGAGGACGCCGCCGAAGGUAAAACUGGUGAUUGGGGUGAAGUCGUAACAAGGUA